GUGGGUCGAUGAAGAACGCAGCCAACUGCGAUAAGUAGUGUGAACUGCAGAAACCUUGAACACAAAACAUUCGAAUGCACAUUGCGCCAUUGCAGUAACAUCCAUUGGCACGCCUGGUUCAGGGU
rnacentral:rRNA from 1 species